GAUGAACGCUAGCGGCAGGCUUAACACAUGCAAGUCGAGGGGUAUAGUUCUUCGGAACUAGAGACCGGCGCACGGGUGCGUAACGCGUAUGCAAUCUACCUUUUACAGAGGGAUAGCCCAGAGAAAUUUGGAUUAAUACCUCAUAGUAUGUGAGAAUCGCAUGGUUUUCACAUUAAAGUUCCAACGGUAAAAGAUGAGCAUGCGUCCCAUUAGCUAGAUGGUAAGGUAACGGCUUACCAUGGCGACGAUGGGUAGGGGUCCUGAGAGGGAGAUCCCCCCACACUGGUACUGAGACACGGACCAGACUCCUACGGGAGGCAGCAGUGAGGAAUAUUGGACCAAUGGGCGCAAGCCUGAUCCAGCCAUGCCGCGUGCAGGAUGACGGUCCUAUGGAUUGUAAACUGCUUUUGACAGGAAGAAACACUCCCUCGUGAGGGAGCUUGACGGUACUGUAAGAAUAAGGAUCGGCUAACUCCGUGCCAGCAG
rnacentral:rRNA from 1 species